rnacentral:misc_RNA from 1 species
GUGAAGAACGUAGUGAAAUGCGAUACGUAGUGUGAAUUGCAGAAUUCAGUGAAUCAUCGAAUCUUUGAACGCACAUUGCACCUCUCGGUAUUCCGGGAGGUAUGCCUGUUCGAGCGUCAUUUGUACCCUCAAGCUCUGCUUGGUGUUGGGUGUUUGUUCCGCCUCUGUGUGUGAACUCGCCUCAAAACAAUUGGCAGCCGGCGUACUUGUUUCGGAGCGCAGCACAUUUUGCGAUCCAGAUCAACGUACAGCGGCAUCCAAGAAGCCUUAUUUAACGCUCUUGACCUCGGAUCAGGUAGGGAUACCCGCUGAACUUAAGCAUAUCAAUAAGCGGAGGA